rnacentral:lncRNA from 1 species
CCACCUCUGCCAUCGCUCAGAUCCUCCUCCCGCCCCCCGAGGCCCCCAAUCAAUUGCUCAAUCCUUCCUCUCCACCGCCCCACCUUCGCAGAUCUCGCUAUAAUUCCGACCGGCUGCCUUCUUUUCCUCCCUUUCUUUGAGCGCGAGGAAUCGGUUUGAGCUGCUGAGCCCCCAGUGCUUGCUGCUGCUUCGUGUGCUGAGCUUCUUGCUUN